rnacentral:rRNA from 1 species
GUAGUCUGCAACUCGACUACAUGAAGCUGGAAUCGCUAGUAAUCGCGGAUCAGAAUGCCGCGGUGAAUACGUUCCCGGGUCUUGUACACACCGCCCGUCACACCAUGGGAGUCGGGAAUGCCCGAAGCCAGUGACCCAAGCGAAAGCAGGGAGCUGUCGAAGGCAGGCCGGAUAACUGGGGUGAAGUCGUAACAAGGUAAC